rnacentral:piRNA from 1 species
UAAAACUUCCAGGUAGACAUAUGCAAUGGG